AUUGAACGCUGGCGGCAGGCUUAACACAUGCAAGUCGAGCGGGGAAAAGUAGCUUGCUACUGGACCUAGCGGCGGACGGGUGAGUAAUGCUUAGGAAUCUGCCUAUUAGUGGGGGACAACACCUCGAAAGGGAUGCUAAUACCGCAUACGUCAUACGGGAGAAAGCAGGGGACCUUCGGGCCUUGCGCUAAUAGAUGAGCAUAAGUCGGAUUAGCUAGUUGGUGGGGUAAUGGCCUACCAAGGCGACGCUCUGUAGCGGGUCUGAGAGGAUGAUCCGCCACAAUGGGACUGAGACACGGCCCAGACUCCUACGGGAGGCAGCAGUGGGGAAUAUUGGACAAUGGGGGGAACCCUGAUCCAGCCAUGCCGCGUGUGUGAAGAAGGCCUUUUGGUUGUAAAGCACUUUAAGCGAGGAGGAGGCUACUUAGAUUAAUACUCUAGGAUAGUGGACGUUACUCGCAGAAUAAGCACCGGCUAACUCUGUGCCAGCCGCCGCAGUAAAAC
rnacentral:rRNA from 1 species